GCAAAACUAGCGGAUGAGCUGUGGAUAGGGGUGAAAGGCUAAACAAACUUGGAAAUAGCUGGUUCUCUCCGAAAACUAUUUAGGUAGUGCCUCAAGUAUUACCUGCGGGGGUAGAGCACUGUUUAGGCUAGGGGGUCAUGGCGACUUACCAAACCUUAGCAAACUCCGAAUACCGCAGAGUACAGCUUGGGAGACAGAGCACCGGGUGCUAACGUCCGGACUCAAGAGGGAAACAACCCAGACC
rnacentral:rRNA from 1 species